UCAAUCUUCACUGUCAAAGGUUUUGUAGUUGAUAAACAUGUGACAAUAUUCUCUUAGAAAUAUUUAAAUCGUUCAGAGUGAGAUACUCAUUAAAUUCUGCAGGGGAAUUGGUUUCCAGUUCAGAUUAGCGGAAGAAACAUUUCUGUGCAAAGCUGCGACACACCUUAAAUGGUCCUAUGCUGAAUGACUCAACUUCCAAAUACUUUUAUAUUGGGUGAACAAAUAAACAAGCGACUGACUUUGCGGUAUACUCAACUUGGACCCACGGGCAAAUUACUGGAGAUGAUUGCAGCGAAUUCUUACUGAGCCUUGAAAGACGGGGUGAAAGUCGUCUCAAAAAAGAGACCAGCUUGGACCUGUAUAAGGUGCAUCAAGAUUUAAUAAUGCCAACUUGUCCAUUCUCAUUAGAAGCUUAUCAAAAACUAUAUGACUUUAUUUCGCCGUAUUUAUUCGGAAAAUCUGUUAAAUGCAUUUAGGUCUAUGAACCCAGUAAUGCAAUGCAAUGUGGAGUAUUUGAUGUCAAUAUCCCUUGUGGAUUUCAUUCAAAUUCAAAGUUUUUGUUACUAAAAUUUCAAAACGUACUUUGCAUUGGAAGCUUGUAAGUUGUUUGGAGUUGAAGGAAUACUUCUGGAUAGUUGCUCUGCACUACGAGUUUCUCCUUGCAUUUCAAGUUGAUUAGAACAUGAAGUAACUGUGCGUCCAAUUCUCCAGUCCAGACUGUUACUUUGGGAAGCUCUUAAUCCUAAAAAAUAUUGUCACAUACAACGAAAGCUAAAAUUUUCCUAGACGCCAAUCCAGGGAAUUGGAAUUCCUAUUAACGGCAUAAAUAUUAUCACAAGAUUUCGUCGAGAAGUAAGCUGAAUUUUGACGUCGUUUCAAGAGCCUCAGGACUGGUCCAGUAUUCCUGAAUUGGAAUAAAUAUAUACAGGCAUUUAUAACAGUAUCCAACUGAUAGUUGUUAGCUCUAUAAAUUCUGAAAUCAUUUCACAAAAUCAAUUUUUUUUGCAUACUUUUUGCACUUGUGUGACUGUUCAACAACCGGUGGUCGAUU